GUUAAGGUAAGUACAAACUGGUAGACAGAUAUAAAUCGAAAUCUAAGUAAGGUAAAGAUAUGAAGAACAAACAUAUAGCUAUGCGCAUGCGCAGUUACUAGUUGCUAUAGCUUCAGAACUGAGAGUAGUCUAAAAAUUAAAGCAGGGAAACUUCAGAGGAUACCAUGUACGCCACUACGUAUAUCAGGGAACAAAGGCUCAAAGAGGAUGAAACAGAGAAUGGUGUCAUGACCAGGAUAGCAAGUGCUGCAGCCUAGGAUUCUACUAGAGAGACUUGAGUCAAAGUAGUCUGAAAUAAGGAGGGACCAAGAGUGGCUUUUUAUUAUAGGGCUCGAAAUAUUGGUUGUCAGAGAUAACGAAAAGAACGACCCUUCUACGUGUGCACUGGGAGAGGAAAAAGAGACAGGAAGAUAUUAUGUUAUGUUAUGGCAUACAAAUGACAAAUGCUCGUGGCCAUAGCAU